GUUCUGUCAUCCUGUUAUGAGAAUCUCCACUUCAAUUCUCUACUCUAAAAUGGUCAGUUGAAUCCCCAAGGCCUAGAUGUUAAAGGUUUUGAAGAAAUCACUUGCCUAUCUUUCCCACUUCCCUUUACUGUCAGCUGUCUUUAUGCACCUUGGGUUUUACUGUCAGUUAUCGGAUGCAAUACUCACAAUUUUCACAAUUUGUGUGUUACCUUUUGGAAUGGCCCGUCAGAGAGUGCAGCAAGCAAAAAAGCAGCUGAUGGUUGCAAAACAGUUAACAUUGGAUAGGAUAGCUGGCUCACGGUGCAUAAAAUGGCUGUGAAAAGGGGGUAGUGGGAUAGGCAAAUAAUUUCUUCAUAAAUUUCAACAUAAAUUAAAACUAUUGGUUUUGUUUUAACUCUCAAUGAUCCCUUUAGUACAUACCAUAAUAUAAUUACAUUACGAAAUUCCUAGGAAGAUCCGUGAUCUCUCUUAAACAAAUCUCUAGGUUGGGCUAAACAUGUGCUACCUAAUGACUGUAUCACUAGUAAUACAGAUUUUAUGGUUAAGUCAAAACUAGUAACCAUGGUUAUUUUCAAAGGUAGAGUUAACGGUUGUAAUAAAUUCACGUCAGUGUUCUUUAUAUUGCUCAGAUUCAUGCAAUCUGCAACUAGAACUAAACAUGCAUAUGUUAAGCUAAACAACGGGAACAUUAUAGGAAUCAGAAUAGGAAUCGGAGUAGUAUUUCUCAACUCCUUUAAAUGUAGGAGAGAGAAUAAUCUCUGGGUCCCAGCUAUGGCGGUAAACUGAACACCAUUAUUAUUAUUAUUAUAUUAUUUAUAUAACUCCAUCAAAUUCCGUAGCGCUGUACAAUGGGAUAAACUCGUGUGCCCUGGCUGGAAUGCAGUUAAAGGGUGUGCCAUUGGCUACAUUAUUCUUUAAAUUAAAACAAACAUAACAGGUGUCAUUAGUAUAGAAGGCUGCAACUUGGCUAGCUAACAAAACAAUAACAAUAACUGAUAUAUAUACAAUCAUGUUAUCGUGUUUAAAACAAAUAAAUUAAACUUAAAGGAAUACUGUCAUCAAUUCUUUAAAUUUUUAUGGUUAAUAUACCAUCUUGUUAUUUUUUGUUUAAUUCUUGUAAUAUUUGAUUAAAUUACUUGACUACGUUUCCUAUUCCCCUGGCUGAUAGCCAUAUUUAUGCACCUUCUAUCAGAGUGUCAGUUGUCUGACCAAGUGCUCAAGAGAGAGUGCCAAAGGUUCACAGCUGAUUCCAUUAACAGGGCAGUGGCGGCUAUACAAAACAAGCUGCCACUGAAUCUAAGGCAGCACUGUAGUAUGGACAAUUGGAUGAUAAGUAAAGCCAUACUACUAGGUAAGAACCCAGAAGCAAACCAUGGCAAAAUAAAGUCUUAGGUAAUCCAUAAUUUGGAAGUCCCAAAGCAGGGGCAGAAAAUAAAUGUCUGGAGAACCAAAAAGGCUCAUUCACAUUACUUGGGUUAUAGAAGGUAGGUUUAAAAUAUUCCUUUCUGAGUGAGGGUUCGUAUAGGGGCAACUAUUGAUGACAAAUGUGGCAUCUAGAAUUGUGCACAGCGGAAACAUUUGUUUUGGCUCAAAAAAAUAAAUUCAGGAUGGCCGGAUUUUGGCCAUAUGGUGAAUUACUCUUUUUUGCCUGCACUGGUGGAAUCCCAAAUCGUAAAUAAAAACAAACAUAAAUCCAUUGUGCAUUUUGUUUGUUUCGUGAUUCAGCUACUUUUUUUUCCCAGGGUUUGGGAAUUCAGACGAUCACCCCAUCGACCAAAAUUCAGGCAAAUUGUAGUUUGGAACAAAACUGCCUAAAAAUGAUCUUACUCCCUUUACGGUGCAUUUACAUGUCAUGCAGUCUACAUGCACUUGAAGCACAGAGAAUGCGAUUCAUUUGACAAGUUGUGACCCAACUAUUUAUCAGUGAGUCACGAUUAUAGUUUUGUUCCUUUUUUAGCAAAAAGGUGCAGAUGUUUCAGACAGUUCUGCUGCACUGGCCUCUGUUUAAUAUUUUUGUUGAGCUUUUCAAAUGAUUUUGUAUUUCUGGAUACAUUUUUAAAAAAAAUGAUUUUUUUUAUAUUACAAUAUCAAAAAUAUAUUACAUAUAAAAUAUAUCAAUAUCUCAGAAAAUAUUAAAUAGUAAAAUAUUAAAAUAUUUUUUAUAAUAUUCAAUAAUUUAAAAAGUUUAUCCAAAAACAUUAGAUUAACUGAAAAGAUUAUCCAAAAAUCUUAAAUCAAGGCCACAGUGCCUAAACCAGGUGAGGUGAGUAAUAAGUUAUCAAACUACUGUAUCAAGGCAGACCUUAGAAGUUCAAUGUCCUGAAAAUCCUUCAGGACUUUAUGUAUCCACGUGGACACCUAGUCAAUGUGUGUUGGCUGCCCUCAUAGGUAAAUGCCAAUACAUGUUGGGUUUCCUUUUGUAAGGAAAUAGGAAAGAAGGCUUAAAAUGGAUUAUAAUAUAAAAAGAAUCAGUGUCCGUGAUUGUAGCUGGAUUAGGAAUCAGUAGACAAAUGGGUCCUACAAUAGCAUUAAUGGCUCUGCAAUCUUGAAUAAAGUGGUUCUAGUGAUACUGCCCUUCAGUGGAGGAUUUCUUGAUGGUAUGGUGUUUUAAAGGCCGAAUUGUUGUAUUGAUCUAAUAAAUGUUGUAUAAUGAGAAUAAUUCUCUUUAGUGAUUCCUGAAUAAGAGGGUAUGUGAUAUUUUGGGCACUUAAACAUUAUUACUGGUCCAGCUGAGGGGAUUUGUCCUAUCAUAGUAGAUGGUAAUCAUUGCAAAAUUGCCUCAUCUUUGGAUGCCAUUAUUAGGCAAGAGUUGUAAUCACUAGAGACAAAUAUUGGUUCCAAAGUGUCAUUCACCAAAUCAUGAUGUACAUCAGCGAUGACUUGAUAGAUCCCAUCAGGAGGGUAUUAAAUCAGUCCAACUUUGAUAAUAGAUUUUUGCCUAAAAGUGUGUAGGGGCAUGUGAAGCUUAAUAAUAAGGAUUUUUCUUCUUUUCAUUAGUGGAAUAUUAAUUUAGAUAGUUUGCUGAAGAGUGUUGAGGACAAUAUUGUUAGAUGUGUCAAUCAAAAAGGAUUCAUUUUGUUAUUCAGUUCCCAAGUUACAAUGGGACUUUCUUUGUUUACAGUAACUAGCAGUGCACAUGGUUCAUUAUGUCAUUGUGAAUCAGCAAGAGCAUUCAGACAGAAAGGGGAGAGAGGGGGAGGAAAAAUAUAUUAACUGUCUCCUUCCUUUUUUAGUCUCUCCUGUUGUGUAUCCAUCCCAUCUUGUUGUAAGGUUCUGAACUCUUGGGCAAAGAGACCAAUCUUCCAUACAUGAAACAUUAUCCUUGGUGUAUUACUUUUAACCCUUCCCCAGAUUCUUCCGUGUGACUUUCCUGUUAUAGAACUUUAAAGGGACACUAUAGUCACCAAAACAACUUUACCUCAAUGAAACAGUUUGUGUACAGUGGUGCAUAGAUCAUGUACCUGCAGUCUGACUGCUCAAUUCUCUGUCAUUUAGGAGUUAAAUCACUUUGUUUAUGAACCCUAGUCACACCUCCCUGCAUGUGACUUGCACAGUCUUCAUAAAUACUUCCUGUAAAGAGUCAUCUAAUGCUUAUCCUUCCUUUAUUGCAAGUUCUGUUUAAUUUAGAUUUUCUUAUCCCCUGCUAUGUUAAAAGCCUGCUAGAACCUGCAAGAGCCUCUUGUAUGUGAUUAAAGUUCAAUUUGCAGUGAAAGAGAUACAAUUGUUUAGCGUAAAUUACAUCUGAUUGAAAGUGAAACCAGUUUUUUUUUUCAUGCAAGCUGUGUCAAUCAGGUGUGGCAAUAGUUGCAGAAACAGAAACAAAGUGACUUAACUCCUAAAUGGUAGUGAACUGAGUAAUGAAACCUGAGAGGCAUGAUCUAUACAUGAAAACUGCUUCAUUAAGCUAAAGUUUUUUAGGUGACUAUAGUGUCCCUUUAACUAAGCAGCCAUAAGAUUUGAAUACAGGCAUUUCUUUUUGAUAGAAAUUAAUUUAACAUUGGCACCAAUGUAAUAUUCUUGGAUAAAUAUUUGUAAGUGUAUCCAAUAAUUGGCAAUGUCUACAGAUUUUGUAUAUGUAUCAACAAUAAAACCAAUAUAACACAUUACAA
rnacentral:lncRNA from 1 species